UUCCUAUCCGAUUAUUCAAAAUGAACCAAACAACCACCUGGCAUCGUUUUAGCUGACAGCACAGAGAGGACAUCCUGAGUUUUUAAUGCUGUUAG